GGUGAACUCUGCUGAUCAGAGUGCCCCUCCCUGCUCUCGGUAGGGCCAUCUGGGGUCACGCAGGGACGUGAGCAGCCCGCCUCAGCCUGGCUUCUCACGGUGCGGGACCCGCAAUGGGCAGCAGAGCUGUGUGAACCAAGGAACGGUCACUGAGUCCGGCUCCACCCGGUGCCGGACAGGCUCGGAUGUAGGGCGGGAGUGAGCACCUGGUCUGUCCCGGAGCCACUGUGGAGCAGGUGAAGCGGCCGCCCACAGGUGUGAGGUGUCAUCUGUGUCAGUGAAACACUGAGGGCCCAGCUGGAGACCACCCUGAGUCAUGCAGAGUGGGUGACACAGGGCGUGGAGGCCCUGAGCUGCUGGGUGGCACAGCCACGGCACCCUGUCUGGUGAGAUGCCUGGGGCCUCAUCCUGCUAGGCUCUUACUUGGGGCACCGGAGGGGACCCGAGAACAGCACCAACCACACCACCUACCCCUCCUGGGGCACCUAUGACAAUCAGGAACCCGCAAAGCAGCAGCCUCUCGCUGCACUGAACCAGGGGAAGGGGCUGCCAUCACACCCAUUCUGCAGAAGAGGAAACUGAGUCCUGCCCAUGUCUUCCCUUCCCAAGAUCGGGUGGGCUGCAGAUGGAGCUGAAGGUGAAAGUGACUGCUCUUUCAGCUUGGAAUGUUCCUCCUCUGGGCUCCUGGGGUUCACUACUGCCCAGUUCCCAUGUCAUGGGACAUCAAAGGUCUCUGGAGUGUCCCGAACUGCCCCGGCUCACAGUGGAUGCCUCUGGCUCUAGCUGGGCCUCUCUCCUGGCCUGAAUCACAUGCCACCUACUUGUCCCUCACCUGCUUUCUGUGCUGCUGUGAGUAUCCCCACCUUGAGUGCUUAUUUAGUUCUCCAUGUGGAGGGGACAGUUUACUGCAGCCUGGUCUGGCCCACAGCGGCCACAUGGGUGACUGUCUUGCUCCCAGAAUGAAUAAUUUGUUAUUAGUCCCUGAGCUGGUUUUCCACGUGUUUGGGCACAGGAAGAGACAUCCCCCACCCGCCCAGGUCCUUGGCUGGUCAGCACUUCAAAUGAUAUUGUUUCAUAUUAAAUAAUUUUAAAUUCCAUGGACCCUGGUUUCACAAUCAAAUAAUUCGAUCCUGUUUACAAAUGGGUUUUACUUCCUGACAGUUCCUUCACUGGGCUGGCUGGUCAGUGUCCUCCCGUGCCCUCCGGUCCAUCUCUGUUGCCUUCCCUGGGACACUGUGUAGUUGGGGGACUUCCCAGGCGUCCCAGGGCUUCUCUGCCUCCCCCCACCCCUGCCCUCCAGCUUCAGCCACAAGAAAAACCCCAUGGGUAAUGGGACUGGGGGACACUUGAUAACCAUCAUUCCGAUGCCCUUUGUUACAGAUUAGGAAACAGAGGCACAAGACCCGUUCCCAUGGUGAGCUUGUGACUCAGGGCAGGAUUCCCCAGGGCCAGUCUGCAUGCCUCCCCCUUCUCCAAGUCCCUACUUGUGCUAUUUGCUGCCCUGAAUGAAGCCACAGAGGGAGGUGGUGGUCAAGUGGCUGUGAGAGGCGGGGAGGGCAGGGAGGUCACACUGAGGAGCAGCGUGGGGACCAUGGGCCGAGCCCAGGGAGAAGCUGGCCACUGUGGGGGCCGAGCUUGGUGGUGAUCAGGGUACCUCAGCCAGGGGGAGUACUGGGCAUCUCUGAGUGUCUGUCCCCUCAUCAGUUGGAGGCUGUGUUAGGUGAGGCCCUGCAGAGAUACAGUGCUGACUGGGUAUACAUGGAGGAGAUGUAUGCUGAGGAACUGGCUCACGGGACCCUGCAGGGGACACAGCAUGAUGUGCGGCCAGUGCAGCGGGGAUGACAGAGAGCUGAGGCUCCCCUAAGGAAACCCAUAGGGCCUCUGCUUUCUCUCUGCUCUCUGCCACGGCGGGAUGGGGAGAAGGCGGCUGGAGGGGAGCCUGUAAGUAGGUCCUCACCAGAACUGCUCUGCUGGACACCUUGAUCCUGGACGCCCAGCUGCUUGGCUGUGAGAAGUAAAGGUUGGGCGCACAGUGCAUAGAAACUGGGCAGACUGAGCCAGACUAGCCAUAACAAACUGAGUGUGCGGGAGAAAAGCACUGGAGUCCCAGCUCAAAGCCAUCAGAUAGAGGAGCCCUCUCGCUUGGGAGGGUCCCCGUUGGGGGCCCCGUUAGGGAGGGUGAAGAGCUAUCCUCAGUUUGCCCCUUCCAAAGCUCAACUCACCAGAAACACCCAGAACAACAUCCGAUCACACACUGGCUCUGGGGCCCCGUGGAGCUG